rnacentral:lncRNA from 1 species
GGAGAAUUUCAGCAAAAGUAUCAUAAGUCAUAGGUUAUUGGGGACAGGAAAAUUUUAUUUUUUACCCUCCACCUUUAUUUCCAAAGUUCCCAAAUUUUGGUUUUCUAUCAAUUUCAAUAUGAACAUACAUUUAGUAUGUUAUGAACAUUUAUUUAAGUAAGGAGCCUGUAAUUCAGUGGUUGUCGUUUGUUUAUGUGUUACAUAUUUGUUUUUCGUUCGUUUUUUGUACAUAGAUAAGGCCGCUAGUUUUCUCGUUUGCACUGUUUUACAUCGUCAUUUCGGGGCCUUUUGAAGCUAAGUAUGCGGUAUGGGCUUUGCUCUUUGUUGAAGGCCGUGCGGUGACCUAUAGUUGUUAAUUUCUGUGUCAUUUUGGUCUCUUGUGGAGAGUUGUCUCAACAUGGCAAUCAUACCACAUCUUCUUUUUUUUUGUAAUCAAUGAAUUUUGUAAAAGAUUUAAUGACUGUAUCAAAAGUUCACAUGAAUAAUUUUAGCGCUUAUCUGUAUAUUAUGAACAUUCAUUACUAUAUAA